rnacentral:rRNA from 1 species
UACGUAGGGUCCGAGCGUUUGUCCGGAAUUAUUGGGCGUAAAGAGCUCGUAGGCGGUCUGUCGCGUCGGCUGUGAAAACCUGGGGCUCAACUCCAGGCCUGCAGUCGAUACGGGCAGACUAGAGUUCGGUAGGGGAGACUGGAAUUCCUGGUGUAGCGGUGAAAUGCGUAGAUAUCGUAAGGAAGACCAGUGGCGAAGGCGGGUCUCUGGACAGUUCCUGACGCUGAGGCACGAAGGCCAGGGGAGCAAACGGG